rnacentral:rRNA from 1 species
GACGAACGCUGGCGGCGUGCUUAACACAUGCAAGUCGAGCGGUAAGGCCCUUUCGGGGUACGACGAGCGGCGAACGGGUGGAGUAACACGUGGGUGACCUCGCCCUCCAGCUCUGGGAGUAAAGCCUCGGGAAACCGGGGUACUAAUACCGGAUAUGACUCCAUGACGCAUGUUGUGGGGUGGAAAGCCUUGUGCGGCUGAGGAUGGGCCCGCGGCCUAUCAGCUUGUUGGUGGGGUGAUGGCCUACCAAGGCGACGACGGGUAGCCGGCCUGAGAGGGCGACCGGCCACACUGGGACUGAGACACGGCCCGACGACUCCUACCGGG